CACACGACUCUCGGCAACGGAUAUCUCAGCUCUCGCAUCGAUGAAGAACGUAGCGAAAUGCGAUACCUGGUGUGAAUUGCAGAAUCCCGCGAACCAUCGAGUCUUUGAACGCAAGUUGCGCCCGAGGCCACUCGGCUGAGGGCACGCCUGCCUGGGCGUCACGC
rnacentral:rRNA from 1 species